rnacentral:misc_RNA from 1 species
AAGUCGUAACAAGGUUUCCGUAGGUGAACCUGCGGAAGGAUCAUUAACACGAACUUUAUAUCCAAUAUCAAAACCAAACGUGAACUUUUCCCCUCCCUAUUUAAAAAUGGGUUUAAUUUUAAAUCCUUUUUUUCUUAGGCUAACCUUUUAAAUAUUUUAAACCCCUUUCUAACUUAACUAGUUUGUACUGUUUCAUUAUAGUAUAAAACUGCUAACACUAAAAAGCCAUUCCUUAAUUGGGAUGUUGUCUUUUUCGAUUUACGAAAAAUAAAGAACAACUCUUAACAAUGGAUAUCUUGG